CUACUUUACAUAUUUCAUUGAGAAAUUAACAACAGAAGAGGCUCUUCCUGGAGACUUGCAUUCCACUGCUCUGUGUAAGCCACUGCUCUUCUGGAGGAAGCAUUCGGCUGAGCUGUGAGUCCAGCAAGGCAAAUGUCUUUGAUGGCACUGCGGAUUUCUGCUACCUGAGCCUCCAGGUUAUGGAUCAGACUCUGGAUUUGGGCCAGCAGGGCUGUGUAUCGGGCCUCUGUCUCUGCUAGGAUGCAUUCCUGGGAAUCUCUCUGUGGAAGAGGAGGGAAACAGAUUCUAAGAUGACUCCUUUAAAAUUCCCAGAAGGCCAUUGUAAAAGACAUUUUAAACAAUAACUUCUCUGUGACAGUACUAAGAGUUCUCUAAGUCCUUUAUUACUUCCUAACCAAAUAAACCCAAAACAAAAAUG
rnacentral:lncRNA from 1 species